GGAAUUUUGGACAAUGGGGGCAACCCUGAUCCAGCCAUGCCGCGUGUGUGAAGAAGGCCUUCGGGUUGUAAAGCACUUUCGGACGGAACGAAAUCGCGCGAUCUAAUAAGUCGCGUGGAUGACGGUCCCGUAAGCAGAAGCACCGGCUAACUACGUGCCAGCAGCCGCGGUACUCCGUAGGGUGCGAGCGUUAAUCGGAAUUACUGGGCGUAAAGGGUGCGCAGGUGGCUGAGCAAGUCGAGUGUGAAAUCCCCGGGCUUAACUUGGGAAUUGCGCUCGAAACUACUUGGCUCGAGUGUGGCAGAGGAAGGUGGAAUUCCAGGUGUAGCGGUGAAAUGCGUAGAGAUCUGGAGGAACACCGAUGGCGAGGGCAGCCUUCUGGGCCAACACUGACGCUCAUGCACGAAAGCGUGGGGAGCAAA
rnacentral:rRNA from 1 species